UACGGGGGGGGGCAAGCGUUGUUCGGAAUUACUGGGCGUAAAGGGCUCGUAGGCGGCCAACUAAGUCAGACGUGAAAUCCCUAGGCUCAACCUAGGAACUGCGUCUGAUACUGGAUGGCUUGAAUCCGGGAGAGGGAUGCAGAAUUCCAGGUGUAGCGGUGAAAUGCGUAGAUAUCUGGAGGAAUACCGGUGGCGAAGGCGGCAUCCUGGACCGGCAUUGACGCUGAGGAGCGAAAGCUAGGGGAGCAAACGGG
rnacentral:rRNA from 1 species